GACGAGCGCUGGCGGCGUGCUUAACACAUGCAAGUCGAACGGAAGGGCCCUGCUUUUGUGGGGUGCUCGAGUGGCGAACGGGUGAGUAACACGUGAGUAACCUGCCCUUGACUUUGGGAUAACUUCAGGAAACUGGGGCUAAUACCGGAUAGGAGCUCCUGCUGCAUGGUGGGGGUUGGAAAGUUUCGGCGGUUGGGGAUGGACUCGCGGCUUAUCAGCUUGUUGGUGGGGUAGUGGCUUACCAAGGCUUUGACGGGUAGCCGGCCUGAGAGGGUGACCGGCCACAUUGGGACUGAGAUACGGCCCAGACUGCUACGGGAGGCAGCAGUGGGGAAUAUUGCACAAUGGGCGGAAGCCUGAUGCAGCAACGCCGCGUGCGGGAUGACGGCCUUCGGGUUGUAAACCGCUUUCGCCUGUGACGAAGCGUGAGUGACGGUAAUGGGUAAAGAAGCACCGGCUAACUACGUG
rnacentral:rRNA from 1 species